rnacentral:rRNA from 1 species
CACAAGCGGUGGAGCAUGUGGUUUAAUUCGAUGCAACGCGAAGAACCUUACCUGGGCUUGACAUCCCGAGAAUCCCCUGGAAACAGGGGAGUUGCCUUUCGGGGAACUCGGAGACAGGUGCUGCAUGGCUGUCGUCAGCUCGUGUCGUGAGAUGUUGGGUUAAGUCCCGCAACGAGCGCAACCCUUGUCUUUAAUUGCCAGCAUUCAGUUGGGCACUUUAAAGAGACUGCCGGUGUUAAGCCGGAGGAAGGUGGGGAUGACGUCAAGUCCUCAUGGCCUUUAUGCCCAGGGCUACACACGUGCUACAAUGGGUGGUACAAAGAGAUGCCAACUCGCGAGAGCGCGCCAAUCUCAGAAAGCCAUCCUCAGUUCGGAUUGGAGUCUGCAACUCGACUCCAUGAAGUUGGAAUCGCUAGUAAUCGCGGAUCAGCACGCCGCGGUGAAUACGUUCCCGGGCCUU